rnacentral:piRNA from 1 species
UGUUGUAUGUCCAGUGCUUAGUGUUCAGCA